rnacentral:rRNA from 1 species
UGAGGAAUAUUGGACAAUGGGCGAAAGCCUGAUCCAGCCAUGCCGCGUGUGUGAAGAAGGUCUUCGGAUUGUAAAGCACUUUAAGUUGGGAGGAAGGGCAGUAACCUAAUACGUUGCUGUCUUGACGUUACCGACAGAAUAAGCACCGGCUAACUCUGUGCCAGCAGCCGCGGUAAUACAGAGGGUGCAAGCGUUAAUCGGAAUUACUGGGCGUAAAGCGCGCGUAGGUGGUUUGUUAAGUUGGAUGUGAAAUCCCCGGGCUCAACCUGGGAACUGCAUUCAAAACUGACAAGCUAGAGUAUGGUAGAGGGUGGUGGAAUUUCCUGUGUAGCGGUGAAAUGCGUAGAUAUAGGAAGGAACACCAGUGGCGAAGGCGACCACCUGGACUGAUACUGACACUGAGGUGCGAAAGCGUGGGGAGCAAACAGGAUUAGAUACCCCCGUAGUCCCUGAGCGGGCUGGCAAGGCGCAU